rnacentral:rRNA from 1 species
GAUGAACGCUGGCGGCGUGCCUAAUACAUGCAAGUCGAGCGAACAGACGAGGAGCUUGCUCCUUUGACGUUAGCGGCGGACGGGUGAGUAACACGUAGGUAACCUACCUAUAAGACUGGGAUAACUUCGGGAAACCGGAGCUAAUACCGGAUAAUAUUUCGAACCGCAUGGUUCGAUAGUGAAAGAUGGCUUUGCUUUCACUUAUAGAUGGACCGGCGCCGUAUUAGCUAGUUGGUAAGGUAACGGCUUACCAAGGCAACGAUACGUAGCCGACCUGAGAGGGUGAUCGGCCACACUGGAACUGAGACACGGUCCAGACUCCUACGGGAGGCAGCAGUAGGGAAUCUUCCGCAAUGGGCGAAGGCCUGACGGAGCAACGCCGCGUGAGUGAUGAAGGUCUUCGGAUCGUAAAACUCUGUUAUUAGGGAAGAACAAACGUGUAAGUAACUGUGCACGUCUUGACGGUACCUAAUCAGAAAGCCACGGCUAACUACGUG